rnacentral:rRNA from 1 species
GACGAACGCUGGCGGCGCGCCUAACACAUGCAAGUCGAACGGAGAGCGUGUUUUGAGUUCUUCGGAAGGAAAGAUACGUUUCUUAGUGGCGGACGGGUGAGUAACACGUGAGCAACCUGCCUUGCAGAGAGGGAUAACGAUUGGAAACGAUCACUAAUACCACAUAACAUAUGGAUAUCGCAUGGUGACCAUAUCAAAGAUUUAUCGCUGCAAGAUGGGCUCGCGUCUGAUUAGAUAGUUGGUGAGGUAACGGCUCACCAAGUCGACGAUCAGUAGCCGGACUGAGAGGUUGAACGGCCACAUUGGGACUGAGACACGGCCCAGACUCCUACGGGAGGCAGCAGUGGGGGAUAUUGCACAAUGGGGGAAACCCUGAUGCAGCGACGCCGCGUGAGGGAAGAAGGUUUUCGGAUUGUAAACCUCUGUCUUUGGGGACGAUAAUGACGGUACCCAAGGAGGAAGCUCCGGCUAACUACGUGCCAGCAGCCGCGGUAACAC